rnacentral:lncRNA from 1 species
CCAGGAUGCGCAGAGUUGGAAAGGCCAUGCGUUGCUGAUGGGCGUGUGUAACGGUGCAGCCACUAGGAAAGCAGUUUGGCAGGUCCUAAAAUGAAGAACAGAAAUACCGUUUGACCUAGCUCCUAAGUACACGUACCCCAAAGAGAUGAGAACAGUGAUUAAGCAAAACCUUGCAGAUGAUUGUUUAUAGCAGCGUCAUUCACAGGAGAUGAAAGGUGGGAGCAACCCAGAUGUCUCCCUGCUAAUGACAGCAUAAACACGUGUGCUCUGGCCAUCCAGCGAGUUGUAUUCGGCCAUAAAAAGGAAGUGCUGACUCAGCCGACAACCUGGUUGAACCUCGAGAUCGUUAGGCUCCGCGAAAGAAGUAGGUCACAGGAACCCCCUCCUAACGUGAAACGUCUGGAGGAGAGAAAUCCCAGGUGACAGCCCACAGGUUGGUGGGAGCCAGGGGCUGGGGCUGAGACGUGGGCUGACUGCUCGUGAGGCCAGCUGGGGGGACCUUGUUGGGGUGAUGAGAGAGUUUUAGAACCAGGUGGAGGAGGCGGUUGCACCACAUUGCAAGUGCUCAGAAGCUGCUGAGUCUUUAAAACGGUUCAUUCAUACUCUGUGAGCUUUCUUAACCCACCCCGCCCUCCCCAAACCAGGGAUGUCGUCCUUCGUACAUCUGGUUAACUUCUGUGAAGCCUGAGGGUGUGCCUGGUGUCAGCGAUCCCCCAGGGCGUCCCUGUGACGAGCACCUUCCAGUAUGGGCACAGCAGCCGGGAGUGUGUCCACCGUGGCUCCAGCCCUGAUGGGGACCUGCGUUUGUCACUUCGAAGCUCCCCCGGCCCCUGAAGGCAGGUUCCCUGGAUGGAGAGAGGCUCGGGGUGGGCAGGGGCAGCGCCUGGCAAGAGGAGAGCUUCUCAAACUCUGAGUGUUUACUCUCCCAGCCCCCGGGGGUGGAGGGACACUUGCAUAAUGGACUAGAGCCACAGAGGCCGCCCUGGGUGCCGCUGACCCGUCCCUCCCAGGCCACGGGCCAUGGGGGGCCUGGAGCUCGCGGCGGAGCUGAUGUGUCCGCUGUUCCUCCAGCCGCAGAUGUUAUCCUCUGUAAGAACUUAAGGCUCAACCUGUUAAGUCUCAUCAAUUGCCCUGAAUUUGUAGGUUAGUUUUGGGACAACUGACUUUUUUUUUUAAAUCAAAAUUGAGAAUCCUGUGUAUUGCAAAUUUCUCACGUUAUUCAGUUUUUCAAAAUUGCUUUUCAGUGAAGUUUUAUAAUUUUUACUAUCUAAGCCUUUUAAGCUGAGCACCAAAGAAUUGAUGCUUUUGAACUGUGGUGUUGGAGAAGACUCUUGAGAGUCCCUUGGACUGCAAGGAGAUCCAACCAGUCCAUCCUAAAGGAGAUCAGUCCUGGGUGUUCAUUGGAAGGACUGAUGCUGAAGCUGAAACUCCAAUACUUUGGCCACCUGAUGUGAAGAGCUGACUGACUGGAAAAGACCCUGAUGCUGGGAAAGACUGAAGGUGGGAGGAGAAGCGGACGACAGAGGAUGAGAUGGUUGGAUGGCAUCACCGACUCCAUGGACAUGGGUUUGGGUGGACUCCGGGAGUUGGUGAUGGACAGGGAGGGCCUGGCGUGCUGCGGUUCAUGGGGUCACAAAGAGUUGGACACGACUGGGUGACUGAACUGAACUGAAGCCUUUUACAUUUUUUUAAAUUUAUUUUUAGAUUUUUGGGGACUCUGGUAAGCAGUAGCUUUGAAGGUGUAUUUUCAUUGGUCAUUACUUGUACAGGAAAGUUAAUGACUACUGAAUGUUGCUUUUUGAUCUCACAACUUGAAUAAAUUAUGUAAUUAGUUCUAACA